rnacentral:rRNA from 1 species
ACGCUCGACACCUACGGGGGCAGCAGUAGGGAAUCUUCCACAAUGGACGCAAGUCUGAUGGAGCAACGCCGCGUGAGUGAAGAAGGUUUUCGGAUCGUAAAGCUCUGUUGUUGGUGAAGAAGGAUAGAGGUAGUAACUGGCCUUUAUUUGACGGUAAUCAACCAGAAAGUCACGGCUAACUACGUGCAGCAGCCGCGGUAAUNGNGCGGCUGACAGC